rnacentral:lncRNA from 1 species
CGGGAUGGGAGUCUAUGUCUAGACGUUCAAAUGAUGGAAGAAGUGCAUGUGUAGGUGGACUUAUAGAACUAUGUAAAUAUCUCUGAGAUUUGGGAUAUUGAGGACUCCUUUUUCUGGUCCCUGCUUACAGCUUGACACAACAUCAGCUCUAGUAGGCAGGUCUCAAGCCUUUCCACUUGAAGCAGAAGGAAUAGUCACCCAGCAAAGCUCAGUCUCCCCAGGCUGUGAGGCUCAUCAGAGUCACCAAGGCCACUUCUUAUGGAGUCAAAGUGUGAGAGAGAUGCUCGUGUGGAAGAAGGGUCUGAAACUGAAGCUGGAGGCUAUGGCCAAUGCUAAGGAAAAAAGUAAAAAACUUAGUUGCAAAGAGAAACAGGAAAGGACUGUAGGAGACUGUACCUCACGUAGAGUCUCAACGGUGAGCUGAUUUACAGUUUGAAAAAUAAUAGCAGGGCUAAAAAUAAUCGAUGUUAUUGGACAGAUACAAUGAUAGAGAUUAGGAAGCAUUCUCAACAGAGAUGAGGAUUAGAAUGUUUUACAGGUAGAGAUAGAUUGCUGUGCAUGCUGAAGUAUAAAAGUGGGAUGGAUAUCAUAGCAUGAAGUGCA